rnacentral:lncRNA from 1 species
CUCAAGCCAGUGAGCGAGCUCUCCAGGAAGGUGAACGCUGGCGAAGCCCGCGUCACCAUGCGCAAGACCGUCAGCAAGUCCUCUGGCAGCGACAGCAUCUGGUGAGUUCCGUUUCUGCCUUUGCAGUCAUCUGACACAUACUCCCUCUGCAUUACAAUCGUAACUGAUUUCGGAAAAACUUUGUACACAAGUUAAUUGGUGACUACUACUCCACUCUCUUAGGAUCAGCACAGUGUAGAUUGGGUUUCAGUUUCACUCCUUACGCUCAUUGUCAGAAAAACAGAAAAAAGGAAACGCUCAUGUUGACGCCAUUGGAUGUCUAGGUAUGGUGCUGACCGACCCAAAUUCUUGGGCCCCUUCUCUGGCGAGACUCCCUCCUACCUCAACGGUGAGUUCGCUGGUGAUUACGGCUGGGACACUGCUGGACUCUCAUCCGACCCCGAGACCUUCGCCCGCAACCGCGAGCUCGAGGUGAUCCACGCUCGAUGGGCCAUGCUUGGAGCUCUGGGAUGUCUGACCCCAGAGUUGUUGGCCAAGAGCGGUGUUAAGUUCGGUGAGGCCGUUUGGUUCAAGGCCGGAGCUCAGAUCUUCAGCGAGGGAGGUUUGGACUACUUGGGCAACCCCAGCCUUGUGCACGCUCAGAGCAUCUUGGCUAUCUGGGCUU